rnacentral:rRNA from 1 species
GACGAACGCUGGCGGCGUGCUUAACACAUGCGAGUCGAACGGUGAAGGGACUGGUUUUGCUGGUCCUGGAUGAGUGGCGAACGGGUGAGUAACACGUGAGUAACCUGCCCCCUUCUUCUGGAUAACCGCAUGAAAGUGUGGCUAAUACGGGAUAUUCUGGGUCUGUCGCAUGGUGGGCCUGGGAAAGAUUGCGCCUUUUUUGGUGUUUUUGGUGGGGGAUGGGCUCGCGGCCUUUCAGCUUGUUGGUGGGGUGAUGGCCUACCAAGGCGGUGACGGGUAGCCGGCCUGAGAGGGUGGAGGGUCACACUGGGAGUGAGACACGGCCCAGACUCCUACGGGAGGCAGCAGUGGGGAAUAUUGCACAAUGGGCGCAAGCCUGAUGCAGCGACGCCGCGUGAGGGAUGGAGGCCUUCGGGUUGUGAACCUCUUUCGCCAGUGAAGCAGGCCUGCCUCUUUUUGUGGGUGGGUUGACGGUAGCUGGAUAAGAAGCGCCGGCUAACUACGUG